rnacentral:rRNA from 1 species
GACGAACGCUGGCGGCGUGCUUAACACAUGCAAGUCGAACGGAAAGGCCCUGCUUUUGUGGGGUGCUCGAGUGGCGAACGGGUGAGUAACACGUGAGUAACCUGCCCUUGACUUUGGGAUAACUUCAGGAAACUGGGGCUAAUACCGGAUAGGAGCUCCUGCUGCAUGGUGGGGGUUGGAAAGUUUCGGCGGUUGGGGAUGGACUCGCGGGUUAUCAGCUUGUUGGUGGGGUAGUGGCUUACCAAGGCUUUGACGGGUAGCCGGCCUGAGAGGGUGACCGGCCACAUUGCGACUGAGAGACGGCCCAGAAUCCUACGGGAGGCAGCAGUGGAGAAUAUUGCACAAUGGGCGGAAGCCUGAUGCAGCAACGCCGCGUGCGGGAUGACGGCCUUCGGGUUGUAAACCGCUUUCGCCUGUGACGAAGCGUGAGUGACGGUAAUGGGUAAAGAAGCACCGGCUAACUACGUG